rnacentral:SRP_RNA from 1 species
GCUGGGCAUGGUGGUGCGUGCCUGUAGUCCCAGCUACUCGGGAGGCUGAGGCAGGAGAAUUGCUUGAACCCAGAGGUGGAGGUUGUGGUGAGCUGAGAUCGUACCAUUGCACUCCAGUCUGGGUAACAAGAGCGAAACUCCGUCUCAAAAAAAAAAAAAAAAAUUUUUUUUUUUUGAGACAGAAUUUAACUCUGUUGCCCAGGCUAGAGUGCAGUGGUGCGAUUGCAGCUCACCGCAGUCUCUGCCUCCUGGGUUCAAGCAAUUCUCCUGCUUCAG